rnacentral:misc_RNA from 1 species
UUCGCCUUCCUCCUCAGCCU